AACACACUAAAAAUUUUGGUGGUUGAAAUGUUCGAUAUGAAAAUGACGGCCAAGUAUAAAUACGAUCAGCAUUUCCAAUGAUCAUCGCAUUUCUUGUUUGCAACUCGAAGUCGACACAACCAACAACGACUACGAUUGAGUUUAAAACUUGAGUGUGGUGCCUCUCUGGUGUGUGGCCCUUUCUGAGGCUGGUUCUCAAAUUGGGCCGAAACUUGGAAUUCAUUUAAAAGAACUAAAAAAACUAUCUGUGUGCAUAAGUGAAACUUGAUCAUAAGAACUCCAACAACUGUAGAAAAAAAAAACUAAGUGAAUUAAUUAAAUAAAAAGAGAAACUUUAUCCAGAAUUUCCAAUCUCGAAUCAAAGUGAAGUGCAAAGUGUAUCUGAGAACUUAAAAAAAAAAAAAAAGUAUCUAUCUAUCUGAUUGUGUGUAUCUUUGUGUUGUUGAAAGUGACAACAGCAACGACGACGACGAUGACAUUCAACGAAAGAGAAAGUUAAAAGACAUUCUAAAAAAGCAAAAAUAAACUAACGUAAUAAAAACCAAACAUAAUAAUUAUUAUGAUCAUCACCAACAAACUAUCUAACUUCCCAUACAUAAGUACGAUAAAGCAAUAGAUACAGAUACUUUUUUCAUAUCCCUCUCUCAAUGGAUGAUGGAUGCAGCAAGGUGUAUAAUGAUGAUGACGAUUAUGAUAAAUUCAAAUUAUUUAUUAUCAUGAAAAUAUUCUUCCGUGGAAAAUGAAACUUAGUAACGUAGUCAUCCAACCGAACAGCAAAGCAUAGCACAAACCGUGCCUCGCUGCCGCCGUUGCAAGGGAUUUUCUAUAUCUAUAUACCUUACAGUGUUUUACUUAAUUUGAUGGAUUAACCGAUGUAACGAACCCACUAUCAUCCCACAACAGCUGAAAAACCAUAAGGAAAAUAACCCCCUUAAGCUAUUUCAUUUGCUUCCUCCGCAAGAAUUUUUCUCAUAUAAUAUAAAAAGAUAAUUUAUUAUUCAUUUUCAAACACCAUAGCAAUUUUGCUCCAAGGGAUUAUUGUAAUAAAAAUUGCAAUGCAUGAUGGUCGACGAAUAAAGGGAAGCUACAUUUUUUGAUAGUCCUUGAUUUUUUGUUUUUAUUCAACACAAAUUCUGGAUCAAAAUUCAAUAUUAAUUUUGUUCCAUAAAUUAAAGAAGAAAAAAAAACUAAAAUGAGAGAAGAAGGAAACAGUUUUUAUCAUCAAAUAUUCAACAAGAAAUAGCAACAUAUACCAUCACAAAAUAAACAAUUUAUAAAACCAAAAAAUAAAAAAACAUUAAAAAUUUAAUGCAAUAAUCAGAAUAAAAUAACAACGAAAUAGAAGAUAAAAUAAAAACAUCAACAGUUGACAAAUUAUCCUUAAAUCAUCAGCAUCGUUAUUCGUUACACAUCACAAAUUAAACAUAAACAUCACUUAACAAUCCAUAGACAGCAACAGAAAAUCCAUCAGAUAAACUUCCUCAUCGCUUCGCAAAACAACAACAAAACAAAACAAAAAUUUAGAUACUUUUAUGGAAUUUAUUUUACUUUUGAAAAUACAACGUUGAUAUAAUUAGAAAUGCGACAAAAAUUAUUCAUCUACAUAAAUAUGAGGAUGACGAUAAAACCAAAAACAUUAUAAACUUUUUUUUGGAAUUAUUUCAACAUCAACAUCGCAUAAACAAAAAUACAAUUUUGAAAUUUGAAAUUUCCCACGCAGUACGAGAAAGUAGAUGCAAGGUUAUGGAACGCUGCCUUCACAUCAGCUUAGCACUGCGAAAUUGGAUCCAUAUUUUAAUUUUUUGGAAGCUUUCAACGAAAUUUUACAUUCAUAAAAAUCAUACAAAACAAUCAACAUGGAGGAAAAAUAAUAUCAAGACCUUCACCAUCAUGGACACAGAUAAGAAAAGGAAAGGUA